CGACCGCGAGCCUGAGCCCGAGGACCAGUACCGCGAGCAGGAGCUCCCGGAAGGCUUUGAGAACGGCAAGUCCAACCUGAUCCUUUGAUGCAUAUUUAAUACCCAGCUUUUCAAACACAACCUAUUGGCCUGUUUUAUAACAUGCAUAUUGUUUUUAUUGCAAGACAUGGUUGGAUAGCCACCCCUUGAUUGUUAUGAUUAUUCCUUGUUGUCCUAUAUUUAUCUCUAAAUAUGAGUUGCUCUGUUUAGAUGAUAAACACGGCUAGAA
rnacentral:lncRNA from 1 species